GGUAUUCCUUAUCUGUGUCUAAUUUCGUUGAAUUGUCUGGAACCUGUCUCUCUGUGCUCUGAUCCUCUGCAAAACACAGAGAGACAGGUCCUUCGUGAGUCACAUACCGUUAUCGGGUACGUG
rnacentral:sRNA from 11 species